rnacentral:rRNA from 1 species
UACGAAGGGGGCUAGCGUUGCUCGGAAUCACUGGGCGUAAAGCGCACGUAGGCGGCUUGUUAAGUCAGGGGUGAAAUCCUGGAGCUCAACUCCAGAACUGCCUUUGAUACUGUAGAGCUUGAGUCCGGAAGAGGUGAGUGGAAUUCCUGGUGUAGCGGUGAAAUGCGCAGAUAUCAGGAGGAACACCAAUGGCGAAGGCAGCUCGCUGGGACGUGACUGACGCUGAGACGCGAAAGCGUGGGGAGCAAACAGG